ACUCCUACGGGAGGCAGCAGUGGGGAAUAUUGGACAAUGGGCGCAAGCCUGAUGCAGCAACGCCGCGUGAGGGAUGAAGGCCUUCGGGUUGUAAACCUCUUUUAGCAGGGAAGAAGCGAAAGUGACGGUACCUGCAGAAAAGCACCGGGCUAACUACGUGCCAGCAGCCGCGGUAAUACGUAGGGUGCAAGCGUUGUCCGGAAUUAUUGGGCGUAAAGAGCUCGUAGGCGGUUUGUCACGUCUGCUGUGAAAAUCCAAGGCUCAACCUUGGACUUGCAGUGGGUACGGGCAGGCUAGAGUGCGGUAGGGAGAUGGAAUUCCUGGUGGUAGCGGUGGAAUGCGCAGAUAUCAGGAGGAACACCAAUGGCGAAGGCACAUCUCUGGGCCGUAACUGACGCUGAGGAGCGAAAGCGUGGGGAGC
rnacentral:rRNA from 1 species